rnacentral:rRNA from 1 species
UACGAAGGGGGCUAGCGUUGUUCGGAAUUACUGGGCGUAAAGCGCACGUAGGCGGAUGUCUAAGUCGGGGGUGGAAGCCUUGGGCUCAACCCAAGAAUUGCCUUCGAUACUGGAUAUCUUGAGACCGGGAGAGGUGAGUGGAAUUCCGAGUGUAGAGGUGAAAUUCGUAGAUAUUCGGAAGAACACCAGUGGCGAAGGCGGCUCACUGGCCCGGUUCUGACGCUGAGGUGCGAAAGCGUGGGGAGCAAACAGG